GCGGCACGACCGCCAGGAGCGAGCCGGGGAACCACCGCAGCACUGGGGUGAAUCCGCGUCAGCGGUAGGGCCUUCUUCCCGCCCGAAUCCGUCAGCUAACCCGGUAGGUGGCAUGCGCGGAAGA
rnacentral:sRNA from 2 species